UGCGCGGAGAAUUUAACGGGGCUAAACCUGACACCGAAGCUUAGGCAAUACAGCAAUGUAUUGGGUAGGGGAGCGUUGUAUACGCGGUGAAACAGUAGCGCAAGCGGCUGUGGAGUGUAUAGAAGUGAGAAUGCCGGAAUGAGUAGCGCGAAUGCAGUGAGAAUCUGCAUGGCCGAAAGCCUCAGGUUUCUGGAGGAAGGUUCGUCCGCUCCAGGUUAGUCGGGAGCUAAGGUGAGGCCUAACGGCGUAGCCGAUGCACAGACGGUAGAGAUUCCGUCACCACCAAAAGAGUUAAACACAGGGACACAUUUGAAGUCUCGGAGCCGGGUGUUGGUUCCGGUAGCGAUCGAGGGAAAUUAGUACCGAAGUCCGGGAUGGAAGAUGGCGAGAAAAGCUGUGUGUAUUUCUGCGGUGCCCGUACCGCAAACCGACACAGGUAGGUAGGAAGAAGAUUCUAAGGCCAACGGGAGAAGGGUUGUUAAGGAACUCGGCAAAUUGACCCCGUAACUUCGGGAGAAGGGGUGCUCCAGAGAUGGAGCCGCAGAGAAUCGGCCCAAGCAACUGUUUACCAAAAACACAGGUUUGUGCUAAAUCGAAAGAUGACGUAUACGAGCUGACGCCUGCCCGGUGCUGGAAGGUUAAGAGGAGAUGUGCAAGCAUUGAAUCGAAGCCCCAGUGAACGGCGGCCGUAACUAUAACGGUCCUAAGGUAGCGAAAUUCCUUGUCAGGUAAGUUCUGACCCGCAUGAAAGGCGUAAUGAUUUGGGCACUGUCUCAACAGCCCGCCCGGCGAAAUUGUAGUACCGGUGAAGAUGCCGGUUACCCGCGACAAGACGGAAAGACCCCAUGGAGCUUUACUGUAGCCUAAUAUUGGGUUUCGAUGUUGCAUGCACAGGAUAGAUGGGACACUGGGAAGCAGGUGCUUUGGCGCUUGUGGAGUGGCCGUUGGGAUACCAUCCUUGCGAUAUUGGAAUUCUAACCUGCGCCUUUGAAUCAAGGCGGGGGACAUUGUUAGGUGGGCAGUUUGACUGGGGCGGUCGCCUCCUAAAGAGUAACGGAGGCGUUCAAAGGUUCGCUCAGCUUGAACGGAAAUCAAGCAAAAGAGUGCAAACGCAGAAGCGAGCCUAACUGCGAGACUGACGGGUCGAGCAGUAACGAAAGUUGGAGUUAGUGAUCCGGUGGUAUGUGAGUGGAAAUGCCAUCGCUCAACGGAUAAAAGUUACCCUGGGGAUAACAGGCUGAUCUCCCCCAAGAGUCCACAUCGACGGGGAGGUUUGGCACCUCGAUGUCGGCUCAUCGCAUCCUGGGGCUGUAUUCGGUCCCAAGGGUUUGGCUGUUCGCCAAUUAAAGCGG
rnacentral:rRNA from 1 species